UUACUCUUACAGUCUCACAGAUGUUCUCUUUCUUUCUCAACCCUUUCCUCCUUCUCUAUUCUUCCCCUUCUCUGUGAAUCCAAAGCCCUAAUCCCCCUGCAAUUCAAGCUAAACUAAACCCCACCCUUUCUUUCUCUUUUUAUUUUGAUACCCAUUCUCUUUGCGACCUGGAUCUCCAAGCAUGAAACCUCAGGGUUUCAUUUUUUAUAUGCCCAACCUAAAACCUUGAAAACCUUGGAUCUGCUAGUCGCCGCCCUCUCAGAUCUCUCAUCCAUUGGAACCCACAAAACUCAACGAAUCCCUAGAUUUUCAAACCCUCUCAAUUUUUCCUAUUCACAAUGAGACAAAUCUGAGAGCCUAGACUUGCUUUCUCUUCAGUCUCUAAAGUUUGAGAUGAGGGAGCCAUCAAGCGUUAGAGGGGCUCAGAGUGAGAGACCAAUGGGUGCCAGACCCAAGUGCAGGUUCAAUCUAGGGUGCACUUGAAGCAGAGAGCUAAGUCUUAUUCUUUCAUUUUGCGCUGUCUUGUUGCCCUUUUUUUUUCUUUUGUUGUGAAAAAUACUAGUGAUGUGUGUGACGUGUACUAUGUCAUUCUGUGUGUGUUGAUGAGGUGGAUUGUUGCUGGUUAAGGUUUCGGAUCCAAGACCUUUGAUUCGGUAUUUGGUUGCAGGGUCGGGGUUGAAGACGAGCGAACUCAUCUUUGGGUCAGUGGUGAGUUGGUGAGUGAGAGAGAGUUGACCCAGGCGGGUCACCCGUGUGAAUUCAUGUGACUCGGGUGCCACCGAGGGAGCCACGUGGACCCUGCCACGUGCUCGAGUCAUGUGUGGGAUGUAAGUGUCUUUGGGUUGUCUGAGGGAUGGGCUUAGAGCAACCUUUUCAGUAAAAAUGGGCCGACCUGCUGGGCUUGAGUUAGAUUUCGGAACGGGCUAGCCUGGGUUUAUUUUAAAACUGGGCUUGAGUUAGAUUUCAAAAUGGGUCGGCCUAGGUUUAUUUUAGAACUGGGCUUCAGUUAGACCUGAAUGCAAUGGGUCGUGGGUUUGGAUGUGCACUGAAAUGGGUUGAAAACUUGAACUCAAACUCAGAUCUGGGUAUGGGCUGGUUUGUUUAAAAAGAAAGUGGAGAUGGGCUAGAUUAACCCUACUUCCAACUCGGGUUUGGGCUUGACUACCCAAGGAUCCGGAACCAUGAUCCGAACUCAUGCUCGAGUAUAAGGGAGAUUCAGGUACAGAAACCUGAGAGGAUGUAGAACACCUACAUUCCUACUUGCACAUAUAUAGAUCAAAUGUCUUUGAUAAUUGAGUUUUAGGCUUUUACCCUCUUACUUUUUCUCCUCGAGUCUUUGUGUCAAAAGCUCCUGAGGCUGUCUGUGCAUGGAUUUUGAUGUGGAAGGUCCUCUGCUCUACUGCUGAACGUUGCCUGGAAUUCUGAGGUUGAAUUGUCACUCUUGGUGCUCUGAACUCUUUAUAGAGCCCCCCCUCUCUCUCCCUCUUUGGCUUUUGGACUCUCUUUGCUCUCUUUUCUUUUUAAAUUGGCAAAGCCUCUCUACUAUUAAUCAUUUUCUCCUCUCAACUUCUGCAGGGUUUUGCUACGCUUCUCUCCCCCUAUUCUAAUUGUCGCAGAGUGUUCUUACGCUCUUCGGCCCUUGUCUCGCUACAAUGAUGGGGCUCCCCUUUUAUAAGGAGUCCAAGGGUGCAUUUGGCGCCAAUUUCAUUCCCUUACCACCAACUUUAUCAGGGAAUAAUUUUCCCCGCGCUUGUGACUGAUUUGAUUUCUUGAUUCUGGGCUAACCAACUCUCCCUUUCCUGUGUGCAAGUGAUCCUGAGGGUCCAUGUGGCAGAUAAGGAAUGGAGGGCUUUUGGGAUGUUUCUGGAUGACGGCAUCGGGAUGGAGGGAAGGGCAUCCUUGGUUUAUUUAUCUUUUGUGAUUUUCUUUUGCUAUUACGAACCAAUUUUAUUUUGCUCUGCUUCUCUCUGCACAGGUAGCUGAGGUGAUCCAGAUGUCAGCGUAGGAGAGGAGGGCAUGCUCCCUGUAAUUUUAAUUUCGAGACAUUUAUUUCUAUUGUCACAUUUUCCAAUUCACAAUUCCGUUUAACAAACUUUGACUGAGGGAAUUUGGUGAUUCUCAAUUGACCAAGUUUGACCAAUGUCGACCAGGUCGGUUGACUGAUUUUGACCAAAAUGAUUGACCAAUUUUGAUUGAACUGGACCAAUUUGACCAAAAUUUGACCAAAUUAGUUGACUGAUAUUGGCCAGAUGAAAUAGGAUAUGACUUUAAUCCCAAGAUGAAACUGGUUUUUUCAAAUUGAGACCUAAUUUCAAAAUAGGUUAAGAUUUUACAAGCUUAAACCCAAAUUUGAAUGCUCCUGAACUCAUGGAAACUCCAAAGACUUGAUUAACGAAACUAAUUUUUGGUUUUCGAAAUUAAAAUUAAAACUUAGAGGAUGAGACUUGGACCAGUUUAUGAAAAACAUUGAGUAAAGUUAAAGCAACAUGUCCUAUCACUGUGGGGACCCUAAAUGAACUUUGAACCCUUAAAAUUGAACUUGACUCAUUAUGAAGAACAAUAGCUCCAAAAUUGGAUGAUCCUAUUAGAUCUAACAUGAGGGCUCUAAACCAAUUUUUGAGUUUUUUUUUUAAAAUUAAAAUUAGCACUUUGGAGAAAAGGACUCUUAACUUAUUUAGAAAAGUGGAGACUUCAAAAUCAGGGGAUCCCAAAGUCCAAUCUUCAAUGAAUUUGGAAGCUACAGGGCUCGGCUAAGGGAAAAAUGGUUUUAACAUCAACUUGCAUUAGCGGUACUUGACCCAGAAAGGAUCAACCCUCGGAUUCCUUGUUGGAACUUCAAGGUCCCAUACAACAACCAAGAUUAAUUUUGCAACUAAAAAGAAUUAAUUAAAAUUAACAUAAACAAAGCCUAACAAUUGGCGUAAAAACUUAAGACUUGGACUGGACAUUUACAAGACUCAACUCUAAACCAGAGACUUGACUGAAAUUAGAAAGACUCAAUUGGAGGGUUUGGGUCUUAAUUCUAAAAAUCAGGGUCAUUUGGGGCUCAAAGUCAAACUCUGUUUCGUUGGGUUUCCUUGGGGUAGCCUGGUUAAAAUUGGGGUGUCGACAGGCACAAUACCGCCAUGUUCUGGAAAUGGUUCUUGACAAAAUGACUCUCUUCGAAAUGGAGAAGAAGCCCACAGAGACCUUUAGGGAGUACGCUUAUAGGUGGAGGGAUGCGGCGAUCCAAGUGGACCCUCUGGUAGGCGAUCGGGAAGCUAUCAUGAUGUUCAUAAAUACAAUGAAAGGCCCCUACCACGGACAUCUUUGGGGAGUAACUCCCAAUGACUUCAUGGACAUCGUGGCCGCGGGAAGUCGGAUUGAAGCUGAAAUUAGGGCAGGCCUAGUCAAAGACAGUGAAAAUGAGACUGAUUCGGGCAGGAAGUGGAUUAACAAGAAGAAAGACGAAGAAGUCCACAUGUCGCCUGAUUCCCAAAUCCGAACUUAUUGCGAGGAUCAGUGAAGGAUUCUCUACGUUUCUAGUGGAUCUAAAUUCCGUUUCGAGCAUUUUCGGGUUUCAGGCUAAAAUCGAGGUUUUGAAGUCUCGAUUCAUAGUUUUGAGGACCAUAGAGUUCGUAGUUGGAAUUCGAGUUGAGGAACGUGAGUUACAAAAUGAUUCCAGG